CUUUCUGGAGAUCUCUUUUCUGUGGAGUCUUUCUUGCUAACCUAGGUCUUUGAAUGCAGGUUACUAGUGGUACAGCAGGAAUGUGAUAACUUCCAUGCUAUGCAUAAAGUUGAAAAGAGAUCCUGAAUUAUUUCCAUAAGCAGGAAGAGGCUCUACCUUGUCUCUUCCCUCCUUACUAGAACCUGGUUUUCUGCUCUGUAUCUCAGCCGUCAAGAGACAUUUUUUUCCUUUUCUGGGAGCAGAGUAACCCAAUUUUAGUCAUAAAACUUCACUGUAUACAGCAGGAGCUCUUUUUUAAAAACACUGUAAAUGCAGACCCUGGGGAGGAAGGAAUGACUAAAUGACACAGAAAAUUUGCACUUUACUCAAGGCAGUGGGAGUAGUGUGAGCUCUCUGUCUAUUACAAGGGACCAUGGGAGAGGACUGAGCACAGAAGAGCUUUGGGAUGUCAAGUCUCCAGAUGGUAACAGUUAGAGGGAUCUGGAGACAUUCUUAUGAUUACAACAGUCAGGUCUCAAAUGCUGCAUGCUCCAGAUGACAUGAGUACAAACCUGCCAGAAGGGUUAUGCUUCAGCAACAUCAAAUCCUGCUGGCCAUGUCUACUUGCAUAGGUAUAAAUUAAAUGUGAAUCAUCUGUAGUCAAUGCAGGCAUUAAUCAUCAUGUCAGUGUCACAGUGAACAGCAUUUGACCUUCCAUUGCACUUCUGGAUGCUCUUACCAUGCUACAACUUCACCAUGGAAAUGCUGAUGGUGCACCAUAAGCUUUUUGGGAACUGCAGUUCAUCACCAACGCUGCUUUAGGAAACAGGAGAAGCCCAGAUCCUACUACUGUGAUGUGCUGAUGGAUGAGAGUCUGCAUGACAAGCAAUGAAAUACAAUGAGACGCAUACAGAAUUAAGCUGUUGUUAAACCCAUCGUCUGCUCAGACUGGACAGAUCAAACAGAAACUGGAACAGAAAAAUGAGCCCUUGUGCAGUAAAUAUCGAAAAUAGAGGGAAGACAAGAUAAAGUUACAAGACCUUGCCACCUCAACAGUCCGUGAUUAUAUCACCAGCUGAGACAUGUGCUGGAGAGGAAUAAAGUGAGCUGGAGCCAGAUAAUAACAUUUUUCCAUUCACAGGGAGUGUGUGAAUCUCCUUGUGAAACAGAAUGCCUGAAAUCAUUGGAUUCCAGGGUAGCUCAGCAUAUGACAGACUCAAACGUAUGAUUGCAGCUCUUAAAGUGUAAUGAGACCCUACUGUACAGUGAAACAUUUCCAGACAUACAUAUGUGAUACAGGAAGAAUCAGGUGCAAAAAUUUCUGUUGUCUGGUCAUAAGCUGCAAAAAAUAUUCUCUGUAAAAUGUAAAAAUCCAGUGAAAUCUCUAACGCAAAACUUAGUUCAUGUUCGCAUGCACCACACUUCUCUUUAGAGUUUAAGUACCUUCAGAGUAAAAGUUGUGAGUUUUGGGUUGUUCUGGAUUUGUUGGUGUUUUUUUUUGUGUUUUUUUUUU